rnacentral:rRNA from 1 species
UACGUAGGGGGCAAGCGUUGUCCGGAAUCAUUGGGCGUAAAGAGCGUGUAGGCGGCUCGGUAAGUCCGCUCUGAAAGCCCGGGGCUCAACCCCGGGAGGCGGGCGGAUACUGUCGGGCUAGAGUCCGGAAGAGGCGAGUGGAACUUCCUGGUGUAGCGGUGAAAUGCGCAGAUAUCAGGAGGAACACCAAUGGCGAAGGCAGCUCGCGGGACGGUACUGACGCUGAGACGCGAAAGCGUGGGGAGCAACAGG